ACGCUCGACACCUACGGGAGGCGGCAGUAGGGAAUCUUCCACAAUGGGCGCAAGCCUGAUGGAGCAACACCGCGUGAGUGAAGAAGGGUUUCGGCUCGUAAAGCUCUGUUGUUGGAGAAGAACGUGCGUGAGAGUAACUGUUCACGCAGUGACGGUAUCCAACCAGAAAGUCACGGCUAACUACGUGCCAACAGCCGCGGUAAUCUGAGCGGGCUGGCAAGGC
rnacentral:rRNA from 1 species